GUUUAACUUAGGACCAAAGUUACAGCGAGCUAAGAUUUGGUUAUAAUGACUUCGGUAAUAAGAGUCAGUCAGCGACUACUGUACUCGGUUUAGAGACACUGCCGUACCUGUUGAUUAUAUUCUACCUACUGUUCCAUUACCGAAUGGGAAACACGUGUUUAAAGAGAGAACGCCCGCAUAUGACCCCGCAUACAGGAGUCAUAUGCGGCGAUUUUCUUUUUCAGCGGGAUGAAAAAGAAAAUCCCCGCAUUUUCGGGCACCAUAACGGGGAGUGUUAUGGCGGGAGAACGGGCCCCUUCAAAGCGCUUGUGACGGGUCUGGAUUCACGAGCCCUUCUUUUUCCUGCUUAAAUAGAAAAUCCGCGCAUAUUACCCCUGUAUGCGGAGGCAUAUGCGAGGACAUUCUUUGUAAACACAAGCCCUUAUCCAUUUAUCAAUGGUAAAGUAAGGACAUUUGCAUAUGCCGAAGCCAUUUUUGAGCUACAUUUGCUCGCCUAAUAUAUAUUUUUAGUGCACUAAACGGUUAUUUGCGUAACAUUGGCAUAACGAUUUAGUGAUAAUGGGCCAAUGCCAAUAGAUUUGUUUUUCUCAUUAUCAUGUAUUUUUAUAUGAGAACAUUUUGUGGCGCGUCUAACGUUAUAUCGUUUGAUGGCCCUUAAAUGUUAUGCAUGUAAGAUACAACGAUAGGUCUUUGUGGCGUGAUAAAAUCGAUUUGCUAAUUGUUGAUGUCUUACGCCGCAAUAUAUUUCGUGCUAUUAUAUUAAGAAUAAGCCUGUUCAGUUGCAUUGUUGAUGGCGAAAAAUGAAACCAGUCCAAAAUAUUGUCUUCAAUUGAAGCGGCUUCAUUUUAUAUCAAAGAAUGCAAUUAAAGAGAGACUAGUUUAAGAGUACCCUUGUAUUAAAAAAUAUGAUCGAAGAAACAAAGCAUGCUGUUUCAGAUAGAUAUUUAAAAUACAUGUAUAUUUUACUUUUUCAAAACCACUUCGUUCAGGUUCGAUUGCAUCCCUCGAACGUUAUCGAGUUCAUCCAAGACAGCACUUUUUAUAAUCUGUUAAAGAUAUAUGGUUGUGUGGUGCUGUGUAUGUAAGUCUUGCUUUGUAUAUAUAUCCAGCGUGUAAAGCAAACGGUUUCUGUAAUGGACUAAUUUGCUUACAUGUAGGUGGUGGAACGCUAGGGUUUCCGACUGAAAAGUAAAUGUCGAUAUGCCCUCAGAACUAAGCUGUAAUGGAGGAAGCCUCCCCGCCAUUGCAGGCCCUGUUCUCAUGCCGGAUAUAGU
rnacentral:lncRNA from 1 species